ensembl:snRNA U6 U6 spliceosomal RNA
AUGCUUACUUUGGCAGCACAUAUGCUAAAACUGGAACGGUACAGGUAAGAUUAGCAUGGCCCCUGCGCAAGAAUGACAUGCAAAUUCAUAAAGUGUUCCAUAUUUUG